ACAAAAAUGUCAAAAAUAACACUGCAAAAUUUAAGUGUCCUAGAACAGUGCUUAAAGCUGAAUUAACAUGAUGAUUUUAAAUUUGUAUUGUUUAUUUCUUGUCAUUGCGACUUUGACGCAGCUGUUGUCAUGACAACAGAUAACAAAACAUGUUUUGUUGAAGGAUUAUUGAUGAAUAAUUUUCCAAAAAAAAUUGGAUUUUAACCACGAUAGGAAAAUGAGAACCUGCGCCUAUCCGUUUAAACCGAUUGUAGAAUUUAUGGAAAGAUAUGGCGAUCUGAGUAUGCCCACUUAAGGACCCCAAGAAAGAGCCAACAAUAGUCAACGGUGGGUGGAACUAACGGACACGCGAACGUGAAAUGCUGAUGCCACCGGCGACACGAAAACUACUGAGAAAUUGAGAAAAGUGUGGAGUGACUUUAAACAGCAAGAAGAAGGCACCUCGCAUACACAGAGCUGCCAAGGGAACACUGGACUGGUGGCGGUCCAGGUUCUUCCCUGAAGCCAAAGGAUUUAGAGCAGAGUGCUUGUAAAUAACUACUUGUAAAUUAAAUCCAUAAUAAAGACCUAGGGUAACUGGAUGGAUAUACCUACCUUAUUAUUGUAAAAGAUAUUAUAAUUAAUUAAAUACA